CCCGCUAUCCACAGGAACCUUUCACAGCAGCCAAUACCUGCAGUAAGAUGAGUCAAAAAGUGGCCAAGGAGGGCCCCAGGCUCUCCAAGAACCAGAAGUUCUCAGAGCACUUCAGCAUCCACUGCUGCCCACCCUUCACCUUCCUCAACUCCAAGCGUGAGAUCGUGGACCGCAAGUACAGCAUCUGCAAGAGCGGUUGCUUUUACCAGAAGAAGGAGGAGGACUGGAUCUGCUGUGCCUGCCAGAAGACCAGAUUGAGAAGGAGGAGCAGGUCAACCCCAAGAAAAAAGUGACCGAGAAGGGACUUCUCGUGAAUGGACAGCCUCUGCUUGUGGAUUUACUGCUUCACCGCAACCCAUCUGCCCUCAGACUUAUCUGGCCUCGAGUAUGACGCAGGGGUGGACACCUGCUGAUAUAACAACUACAGAUGCCCUCAGUCCCCAUGGUGUGGGAGCCUUAGGGCAGCCUGCCUGGAGCACUUGGACGAUGCCACUCCAUCACCUCCCUCUAUAACCGCCGAAGAGGCAUCUCUGUCCACCUUCUGACCCUCCAUGGUUGUUCAGUCUGAAGAUUCCUGUGUCUUCAGGGAUGUGCAAAACAAGGUCAUGGUGUGCGACCAUCCAAAUGGCAAAUAUAAAAAAGAAAUUGUCAAGUGUUGGCGGUGACGCAAGAAAAAUCCUAGAAGCCACAGAUGGGGAUUUAUACACUGUCGCAACACCGUUGAGAUGUACUCUGGGGACACUAUCAAGGCAAAGUAUCUUAAAACCUCUAAUCAAGCGACUGUAAUUUUAGGCAUCCAUCCUGGGGAAAACUCACACCCUUUUAGAGAAAGGAGAAAUGCCCAAAUUUGUUUAAAAGAUCGUGGUUUGUAGUUAAGAGAGGUAGAAUGAGAUUAACCAAAAUGUCGGUCCACGGGAGAGCAAGAGAGUCAAUCUUGGUAUGUCCACAAAGUCCUAAGAGCAGUUAAAAGCCAAUCUGUCAGACAGACCCAUGCCGAGCAGGUAAAUCUAGAAAGCAAACCAAGGACUAUAAAAGUCAAGCACCAGGCAGUAAAUCCAGAAUAAGAGCCUAUGCAUACAUAUUGACAGCCCACAAUCCUGUACUGGUUAUUGCUUACAUAAGGAGAAGCCACAGAUCUCAUUCUUUCUUCUAGAAUGCAAUAGAAUUUAAAAAUGACAGCAGAACAAAAGGACACUAGAAAUUAUCCUCUCAGAAAUAAAAGUAUAAGAAAUAAUUUCUGGCUUGAGGAAAUAACCCAGGCUAAAAGCUACACAGGCCUGGCUUAACCAUACCAGCAGGGCAUACCUUUGUUAGGAGAGGGUCAAUUCGAAGUUUGUGAACAGCCUGGGCUGUUUCCGAGGCUGCAUAAAUCUUAAACACCAAAAAUGUGUGUUUUGAAUUAACUUUGGGUCUGGUCUACAGAGUCCGGCUUGUGAUGGCUCCUGACACGGGAGAAAAGGGGAUAAGUUAAUAUAAGGCUCUGGGAUUUUCCUUUGAGGAACAGGCAGGUAGGAAAGGACACUAGAAUGUUGGGGAAUGUGGAGGGAUGUAAAACAGACAGUAUUAUGAUGGGGGGAACUCAGGAAGGAACGGUAAGGACACCAGAAUGGCCUCGUGCUGGGAGCCAGGGUGGCCAAGCCCAGGCAGAUGCACAAAGACCCCAAAGGCCACCAUUGCCUCACAACCAGACCCAGCAAAGUUCAGAUCAAGUGCAUAAAUGGGGGUCACGUCAGUGGAAACUGUCCGGAGCAUGGAGCAGGGGGUGAGGAAGACAGUCAGAAGGAAGCAAGAGAUGGCUUAGAGUGUUGCAUGGCAGCAAGAAGAAGCAGUCCAAAUAUCAUCCCAAGGCAGCCAUGGCUUCCUCUCCCGAGGACACUGUGGCCCUGUGGAAGUGCCAAGGCAGAGGCAGAGGAAUUUAACCGCACACAAACUACAUGCAGAAACUAAGGUGCUAAAUGAACAUCUACGUGACAACCUUUCUGAGGACCAGGUUCCAGUGAGCGGCCCAGGGCCGUUAUCUUCGCGAUGGUAACUGAGCUGAGAAGAAUGGGAACCGGAUAGGAGCACACAGUAGCCCACUGGUGAGACAAAUCCACGGGCGAGCCUCAACCAACCCACUAAGGAAACUUCACGCCUUUUCAUCUAGUUUUCAUUUUGGCAAAGCAAAGCCAUCCUGAGUGCUUGCUUGUCUCCGCCCUCCACGCCACCCCCGAGACACAGAGCAUGCGCAUUAACCCAGAGCGCGCUAACACAUGCACAGCGUUGGACAUUAGCCUAUUAAUGGGAAUAACCAGAAACUACUAAAUUUUGUUUGUUGUAGAAAUAAAACCUGGGGAUGGAUCAAGCCUAUCCGGAGCUUGCUUGACGCUGGUGGGUCACUAAACAUAAUGCAUCUUGGGAUCCGUCACUA
rnacentral:lncRNA from 1 species